rnacentral:rRNA from 1 species
GUCUACAGCCAUACCACCCUGAAUGUGCCCCACCUUGUCUGAUCUCAGAAGCUAAGCAGGGUCAGGCCUGGUUAAUACUUGGAUGGGAGACAAAUCUUCAAAAGAGACUGCUCAGAGACA